rnacentral:rRNA from 1 species
AUUGAACGCUGGCGGCAUGCUUUACACAUGCAAGUCGAACGGUAACAGGCCGCAAGGUGCUGACGAGUGGCGAACGGGCGAGUAAUGCAUCGGAACGUGCCCAGUCGUGGGGGAUAACUACUCGAAAGAGUAGCUAAUACCUCAUACGAUCUAUGGAUGAAAGCGGGGGACCGUAAGGCCUCGCGCGAUUGGAGCGGCCGAUGUCAGAUUAGGUAGUUGGUGGGGUAAAGGCUCACCAAGCCAACGAUCUGUAGCUGGUCUGAGAGGACGACCAGCCACACUGGGACUGAGACACGGCCCAGACUCCUACGGGAGGCAGCAGUGGGGAAUUUUGGACAAUGGGCGCAAGCCUGAUCCAGCAAUGCCGCGUGCAGGAAGAAGGCCUUCGGGUUGUAAACUGCUUUUGUACGGAACGAAACGGCUCUGGUUAAUACCCGGGGCUAAUGACGGUACCGUAAGAAUAAGCACCGGCUAACUACGUG